UCCCUCUUAGGUCAGUGGUAGAGCGCUUCACUAGUAUAAGGCGUUCCUAAAGUCCUUACUGAUGAAGAGGUCAGUCGUUCAAGUCGGCUAGAGGGAA